ensembl:lncRNA
UUUUUUUUCUUUUUAGGGCCACACCCUCAGCAUAUGGAGGUUCCCAGGCUAGGGUCAAAUCAGAGCUACAGCUGCCAGCCUAUGCCAUAGCCACAGCAACGUGGGAUCCGAGCCAAGUCUGCAACCUACACCACAGCUCACGUCAAUGCCGGAUUCCUGACCUACUGAGUGAGGCCAGGGAUCCAACCUUCAUCCUCAUGGAUACUAGUCAGAUUCCUUUCUGCUGUGCCACAAUGCAAACUCCCUGAAUACAUUUAGAGGCAGAAAUUCUAUUCCAGGACUCUGCUAUAGUCUAAAGUUCCUCCCCAAACUGACCUUUUAAUGACUCCUUAACCCCAGAAGAAAAGCCAGGCCAGGGUUGUCUGUUCCAUCACCUGUCUCAUCACAAUGCAGCCAACCUACCAGAGUUGUGGCAGUGCCACCUUCCUGAGGGAAAGCAACAGGCAGGCCACUCCCACUUCUAAGCUCCUGCUACAUGGACCAGUCAUGGCCUCUUUCUGGGAAAAUAACAGAAAAGGCAGUCUCUGAUUACUAACUGCUGCUAUAGUCGAAGAGUUGAUCCAGUACAGCUCAGGAGAAAGACGGGGAGGGGUGUACCACGUGGGGCAUGAAGGGAAAAAGUGAGGAAAGACAAUAAAGUAGAGGAAACCAAUCGAGCAAGGUGAGCAUUUGGAGUGUGUGCUUAAUGAUAGUCCACAGGAGCCAAGAUGGGGCACUUUAGCAGCUAACUGUCUACAAGCCUCUUGGCAAACAGAGCUCAGAUAUGCAUAGAUUUCUGAAGGGGAGACUGUCUGAACUUGCUCUGAAUCACAUCCAACUGGAUGUUGUAAUGCAACAGUCUUCAAGCCUCAAUACCAACUCCCAACUGUAUCCUCUGCCUAAAAUCCCCAGAUUCCAUUUCCAAGGAGCCUUGCAGAGCACAGAGCUGGGCAAACAGGACUGCUUGUGAGACCCUUUUAAGAUCCACUGAAUAUACAUUUUAAGUUUUAAUCUUAUUUGGAAGAUUGCGAACACCAACCAGAGAGCGCCAAACCAGAAGGAAGCAAUGUCAUCCCCAGAGAGGAAGCAGAAUAAGGUCUGGCCACAGGUCUGCAAGCCAGUGGUGCUCACUGAUGACCCUUACAAACAUGGCAUAUUAACAGAGUGACAAACACCAGUCGACACGAGAGAAGUCAUCUGGCAUCUCAGACUGCUUCUUCCCAAGUACUUGAGUCCUUGUCUCUUUAUUUCUACCUCUGAUCUCUUCUUGGCUCUGUCAUCCAGACUUUCUACCUACCCCAAGCCUAGACAUGGCAGAGAUGCUGACUGUCAGGCUGAACCUGCCCCUUGCUUCUCCCGAAUGCCAAAGCCCGGGGGGGUUACACUGCUCAGAGUCAGACCACCUCUGGGUUUCGGCAGCAAGGCAUUAGCCCCGCAAACCAAGCUGGAGCUGCUGUCAGGCCUCUGAAGACAAAUGCAGGAGCCAUGCCUUCUUUGCGGAGUUCUGGCGCUCAGUAGAUAUCCAUCAAAUCGGUGCACCGGGAUAAACACACAUGAUAAUGCACUUAUGCUCUCUAACUCUAUCCAGGUUGCCGACAAAAAAGCGUUUGCCUUUUAUUUCCUCACUGUAUCUCCUAAGUGCAUCUCAUUGCUCACCAGCAUCAUGAUCUCCUGGGUACCUUUAAAAGAGCAAUUCUCAGGCCUCUCAUUAGACAGUUUGAAGGAGAGUCGGAGGGAAGAGCCCAGGAAUAUGCAUUCUGAAAACUCUGCCCAGGAGAUGCUUCUGCACAUGAAGUCUGAAGAAGGCUGCUUGGGGGGUUCCAUUCCCAGCAGUCUCCCCUCCCAUGGGGAAGCAGCUACAGACUUGCCCCAGAGGCUCACCUCCUACUCCCCAUCGGCUGGCUCCUCCUCACCUCCCCCCGGCCAGCAGGGCCUCACCUCUGAGCAGAGCUGUGGGCUUCCCAAUUUUGCCAUAAUCCUACCUCCACCGCCUUAUCCAGGAGAGUCCUCUACCACAGUCCUCUACCGCAUGGACUCCAACCACAGGAACAGCCAAAUGAGAUUCCCAUCCUGUUCUUCUAUCUAUGAGAAUGCUCAGAGCCUCCCAUUCUCUAAAACCAGGGGAAAGGUUCAGGCUUUUCUUUCCUUCACCACCAAAUCCGUUGAGCCCACUGCCAACACCUGUCCUCCUUCACCUCCCACCUGUGCUUUGACCCCCACCUCAGACUUCUGUUCACAACACUCUACUGAAUCGGCUCUGCAGCCUUGGUCAUGACAAUGAUGAUCCAUUACACCCAAAGGGUAUUUUACAGCUAAUAAAAUACUUUCACACAUACUUUGUCAUCUGGACUUCAAGACCCUGUGAAAAAAGCAGGUAGUAUCUCAGAGAUUCCCAAACUUCAGUCUAGAUUAACAUACCGCCUUCCCACUUUUGGCCAUAUUUAUUUACCCCUGCAUUUUAAUGCACUUACUGUUUUUCUGAAAAAUGACCACGUAUUUUAACUUAUGUUCAUUUUGAAAGAAAAUGCAUGUAGUUCUCAUAAGUGGAAAACCUAUAUUUGCCAUUAAUAGGAGGAACCAAUGUAAAGAAAUUCGGUGAAAAUGGAGUUCCCUUAGUGGCUCAGUGGUUAAUGAAUCAGACUAGGAACCAUGAGAUUGCAGGUUCGAUCCCUGGCCUUGCUCAGUGGGUUGGGGAUCUGGCAUUGCCAUGAGCUGUGGUGUAGGUCGCAGACACGGCUCAGAUCCCAUGUUGCUGUGGCUCUGGCGUAAGCUGGAGGCUACAGCUCCGAUUCGACCCCUAGCCUGGGAACCUCCACAUGCCGCGGGUGCAGCCCUAGAAAAGACAGAAAAAAAAUAAAAUAAAGAAAUUUGGUGAAAACAAAAUGUUAUUAAAUUUUAAAGUGAAAGUGACUCUAUUGAGGGGGAAUGCCUGGGCCCCUGGAGAAAGUCAGUUCCCUGGCUUCCCCACUGCUCCACCCAGAAAGUAGGAAGCCUCAGCCCUACUGAGCUUCCUUCUGGCCAUUCUGUGUUCACAGAGGUCUGGCUUAUUCACAAGAGGUCAAUAUUAACCUCUUCUGCUUCUCAGAUGUCAGGGCUUUCCCAGGACCUAAGCCUAAACACUGCUCUCCAACCACUGUCCAGCCCACAGGGAGGAAGUGUCACAGCAGUUCUCCCACAUGGUUCUCAGCAGAGCCUAGGGCUUUACUCAGCCAGUUGUCCACAGCCCAUAGAAGAUGCAAAGAACUGGGGUGGGGCCUCCUGCAGGUGGUCAUGUUUCCAGCAUUAUUCUAUCUAGAUUCUAUUCUAUCUCUAUUAUUCUAGCUAGAACCUAUUGUCCACCAAUGCUUAGGAGCCAAAGUCCCUUCACACUUUGUUUAAAGAUGAAAUAAUCACAUCCAUUAGAGUGGCUAUUGGAAAAAAGAAAGAAAGAAAGGAAAAAUAAGGAAAGCAAUGAAAGUAAGGGAAAGAAAAGAGUAAGUGUUGGCAUGGAUGUGGGGAAAUUGAGAUCCUUGUGUAUGGCUGUUGGGAACAGGGGGUAACCACUGUGGAAGAUAGUAUGGUGGUUCCUCAAAAACAUUAAAAUAGAAUUGUCAUUUGACCAGCAAUUUCACUACUGGGUAUAUACACAGAAGAACUGAAAGCAGGGUCUUGAAGAGAUAUGCGUAGGCCGUGCUCAUAGCAACACUAUUCACAAUAACCAAAAGGUGGUUACAAUCCAAAUGCCCAUCAACAGAUGAAGAGAAUGUUAUUUAGCCUUAAUAAGGAAUGAUACUCAUAUACAUGCUACUACAAAGUAGCUACAACAUUAUGCAUAGUAAAAUAAGCCAUUCACAAAAGGACAAAUAUUGUAUGAGUCCACUUAUACAAGAUACCUCAAGUAGACAAAUUCAUAAAGACAGAAAGUAGAAGGCUGGUUACGAGGGACUGGGGGAGGGACAAGUGGGAAGUUAUUGGUUAAUGGGCACGGAGAUUCAGUACGAGAUGAUGACAAAGUUCUAAGGAGUGUGCUUGUGAUGGUUGCCCAACAGUGUGAAUGCAUUUAAUGCCACUGCACUUUACACUUAAAAAAUGGUAAAAGCAGUGCAUUUUAUGUUGUAUAUAUUUUACCGCAAUUUCUAAAAAUGAGAUCAGCAGUCACUUAUGAGAAAUGUGUUAGAGUGCUACUAGCACCAAACUUGACCCAAGUUAGGGCUAAAAUUGAACUGGGAAGCAGAUAACUUUCUCACUAUGUGAUUCAAUAUUAUCAAAGGUCACAUUCCAGCAUCUCCAAAACCACCAGUAAUAUGUUUACCAAAAUUUGAGAAAACACUCUAGUAUUUUAUAUACUCUUUACACAAAUGAGGACGCUGAAUCUCAGACACAACAGAGAUAAUGAGUGAAUUCUCCAAGAUCACACGGUAAAUGGCUUGAUAUAGGCUAUACUCAUUCCCAAUUUAUGUCAGCCCCAUUAACCCAAAGUACUCCUUCCUACCCCCUCCCUUUUCUUCUCCUGCAUUAUUCAAGACAAUAAACUCUUUUUGUUCUUCUACAACUCAUUUUUCUUUCUUUACGUUUUUUGUGAUUUAAAAAAAUUACAAGCUUUUUUUUUUUUUUAACAGCCACACUUGUAGCAUAUGGAAGUUCCUGGGCUAGGGGUCAAACUGGAGCUGCAGCUGCCGGCCUACGCUAUGGCCAGUCACAGCAGCACUGGAUCCGAGCCACACCUGCAACCUAUACCUCAGCUUUCAGCAAUGCUGGAUCUUUCUCUGAGUGAGGUCAGGGAUCAAAGCUGAAUCCUCAAGGACACUAUGUCAAGUUCUUAACCUGCUGAGCCAUAAUGGGAACGCCAUAGACUUUAUUUUUUAGAGCAGUUUUAGGUACAGAAAAAUUGAGGAGGGAGUACAGAGAAUUCCCAUAUACCCACUCCCACCCACCAGCUUCCUCAUAUGAAAAUUUUGCAUUAGUGUGGUAUAUCUAUAUCAUUGCUGAGCUAAUCUUGAUAUAAUAUUAACUGAAGUCCAUAGUUGGAUUCACUCUUGGUCUCCUACAUUCUGCUGGUAAUGACUUGCAUCCACCAUUCCUAAAUCAGACAGAUGAGUUUUACUGUCCGAAGCAGCCCUUAUUUUCUCUCUCUCUUUCUUUUUUCCCCAAGUUAGGAGAUUCCCCAAAGUUCCAAUCCUGACCUGUUUCUCUUCUUGCUCUUUCCUCUCACUUAAGAACUCAUUUCCAUCCCCAGGUUUUCAGGGACCACUUCCCUCCUGACAGCUCUCCGAUUUAAAUCCCUGCUGGCCUGCUGCACCCCUCCACUUGGAUGUCGGAAGCAAGCCUGCUGUGUGCUCUGCCCCCAGCCCCUGAACACCCAUUUCUCUUCAUGACAAGCCAUCCUUUCAGUCACCUUGUCACCCUGGAAUCAACUUUGACUCUUCCCUCCUUAUUCUUUGAGGCAGAGGCAUUUGAGAGAGGGGGGAGGGCAUCCAGUGACAGCUUGGAGUCAUGUUCAUGAUGAGCUUAGACUCUCUGGCUGCAGGGAUCUGUCUUCAGGUCCUCUGACCCAUGCAAGGUGAAUGGCAAAAAUAAUGACCUGGUGAGCCAACAGCCAUUUCCACAGAAGUGCUUCUUUGUAGUCAACCUAGCAAAGACCUCUCCCCUUUUUUCACAUCAAACAGGUCUUCCCCUCUCACCCCCAGCUGCCUUUGAUGUCUCUUUUCUCUGACCCAGGUCUUGGCACUGGUGGGAAAGAACAUCGGGAUGAGAGCAGAUCUGCUGAUCACCAAUAGAAUGACUGAACUUAUUCUCUGAGGUCAAAGCUCAAAGGAUUCAUUAAAGGUUUCCUUUAAAUAUAAACCCAGCAGUUUAAUAAAAAUGUACCAUUUAAGGCCUGAGCAUAAUCUAAUGUUUUCCCUCAGUUGGUUUACUGAAAAAUUAAGAAGAAGCCCAUGUAACUAUGUAAUGAAAAUUCAGUGUAGUAAUAGAAAUUUUACAAGCUCAGAAGAAGACAAAGGAGCAUAUUGGUUGGGAAUGUGUCCAGGUGCAUGAAACAAGAAACUGAUAAGAGCGAUAUAACCAAAUCAGGGUCAUUUUCCUCAAGUAGCAACAAGUCCAGAGUUAGAGAGACCAAGCAAGUAUAGCAAAUCCUUGAAGCUGUCAGGGACCAAACUCCUUUCAUCAUCCUCUUGCCACUCCUCGCUUGUGACUCCCAUCAUCAUGUUUGCAGGAUGACUGUUUGCACAUCCAUUCAUCAAAUGUGAGUUUUAGGGAGGAAAACAGGUAAGGGUGAAGGUUAAAAGGCAUGUGCCAAGUGACACUCUCCCUUUUAACUGGGAAAACAAGAGCUUUCCCAUUUAUAUAUCAUUGCCUAGAAUGGUGUCAUAGUUGCAAGGGAGUCUAGGAAUUCAUUCAGGUUUGUAAGGUGGGCACACUGCUGCAGUGAACAAAAUUUGAGAUCAGUAAGAAAGGAAGAUCUGAGACAAGCCAGCCACCAUGUUGAGGAGACACCUCAUCAGCUCAAUGAAGAGGUGCAUGUGGCGAGGAACUGAGGUAUUCUUCCAAUAACCAGCACUGAUAUGCCAGCCACGUUAGUGAGUCAUUUAGAAGGUCCUCCAGCCCCAGUCCAACCUUCAGAUAGCUGCGAUCCAGCUGUAACCUGGCUGCAUCCUCAUAAGAGACCCUUAGCCAGCAUCACCCUGCUCAGCCACUCUUGAAUCCCUAACCCUCGAAAUGGCAAGAGAUCAUAAAUACUUAUUCCUGUUUUAAGGGGGGGGGGCAGUCUGUUAUGCAGCAAUGAGUAACUAAUAUGGAAAAUAAGAAAGAAGAGGUGGACAGAAUAUGGAUCAGGUAGCUAGCUGUGCCUAUCCCAAAGAGGGAAUAACUAACUUUCUUUCAAAUGUGGAGGGCAGGUAAAUGUUUAGAGCAGAAGUAAUACCUUAGUAAGUUGCGUAGAAAUAGUUUCCCUGGGAGGAGAAAGAAGGCAGGUGGGGAGCCCCUUCGGGUAGAGAGGAUACCUGUACAGCUCACUAUCCAACACCGUGUGGGAAUGGGAGUUGGAGGGACACCACUAUGUCCACUUUCCACUGGUGGCAUGGGGGUGGGAGGGCGAAGAGCGUAAAAGAAGCAGGAGGUAUGUGCCAAAGCUGGAGCCUAAGGAGUCUUGAAAUCUCUCUUAGGAAUCUUGGUUUUAUCUCAUAGGCAAUGGAAAGCCAUUGAAGGUUUUUAGGAGAGAACAGUCAUGAUCAGAUUAAAUCCAGAACAGACCACUCUAGCAGUAGCGAGGAGCACAAACUAGACAUGGGCUUCCUAGAACAUUUAAAAGAAGAUUCAGUUUGUGCAAUUAGAUGCCCAACAUUUGGCAACCAUCUGGCUUUCGGGUAGUUGAAGCUUUGCAGAGCUUGUGGACUAUUGCCAUGAGGCCUGAAAACAGGGUAUACAGCAUUCUUAUAUCCAAAAAACAGGUAGUGGAUGAUGGGCAGU